CAGCCGCCACGGGAAUACGUAGGGGGCUAGCGUUAUCCGGAUUUACUGGGCGUAAAGGGUGCGUAGGUGGUCCUUCGAGUCGGUGGUUAAAGGCUACGGCUCAACCGUAGUAAGCCGCCGAAACUGGAGGACUUGAGUGCAGGAGAGGAAAGUGGAAUUCCCAGUGUAGCGGUGAAAUGCGUAGAUAUUGGGAGGAACACCAGUAGCGAAGGCGGCUUUCUGGACUGCAACUGACACUGAGGCACGAAAGCGUGGGGAGCAAACGGAUUAGAUACCCCAGUAGUCCCUGUCUCUUAUACAC
rnacentral:rRNA from 1 species